rnacentral:rRNA from 1 species
UGAGGAAUAUUGGUCAAUGGGCGCGAGCCUGAACCAGCCAAGUAGCGUGCAGGAUGACGGCCCUAUGGGUUGUAAACUGCUUUUGUAUGGGGAUAAAGUCAAUCACGUGUGAUUGUUUGCAGGUACCAUACGAAUAAGGACCGGCUAAUUCCGUGCCAGCAGCCGCGGUAAUACGGAAGGUCCGGGCGUUAUCCGGAUUUAUUGGGUUUAAAGGGAGCGUAGGCCGGAGAUUAAGUGUGUUGUGAAAUGUAGACGCUCAACGUCUGACUUGCAGCGCAUACUGGUUUCCUUGAGUACGCACAACGUUGGCGGAAUUCGUCGUGUAGCGGUGAAAUGCUUAGAUAUGACGAAGAACUCCGAUUGCGAAGGCAGCUGACGGGAGCGCAACUGACGCUUAAGCUCGAAGGUGCGGGUAUCGAACAGGAUUAGAUACCCUGGUAGUCCGCACAGUAAACGAUGGAUGCCCGCUGUUGGUACCUGGUAUCAGCGGCUAAGCGAAAGCAUUAAGCAUCCCACCUGGGGAGUACGCCGGCACGGU